rnacentral:rRNA from 1 species
GAUGAACGCUGGCGGAGUGCCUAACACAUGCAAGUCGAGCGGCAGCGCGAGUAGUUUACUACUUGGCGGCGAGCGGCGGACGGCUGAGUAACGCGUGGGAACAUGCCCCAAAGUGAGGAAUAACUGCCCGAAAGGGUAGCUAAUACCGCAUAUGAUCUUCGGAUUAAAGGAUUUAUCCGCUUUGGGAGUGGCCUGCGUACGAUUAGAUAGUUGGUGAGGUAAUGGCUCACCAAGUCGACGAUCGUUAACUGGUUUGAGAGGAUGAUCAGUCAGACUGGAACUGAGACACGGUCCAGACUCCUACGGGAGGCAGCAGUGAGGAAUCUUCCACAAUGGGCGAAAGCCUGAUGGAGCAACUCCGCGUGCAGGAUGAAGGCCUUCGGGUUGUAAACUGCUUUUAUGAGUGAAGAAUAUGACGGUAACUCAUGAAUAAGGGUCGGCUAACUACGUG